UAGGGAAUAUUGCGCAAUGGGGGAAACCCUGACGCAGCAACGCCGCGUGGAGGAUGAAGGCCUUCGGGUCGUAAACUUCUGUCAGAUGGGAAGAAAAAGCUUGGGUCAAUAGCCCAAGCCCUUGACGGUACCAUCAGAGGAAGCCCCGGCUAACUCCGUGCCAGCAGCCGCGGUAAUACGGAGGGGGCAAGCGUUAUUCGGAUUUAUUGGGCGUAAAGGGCGCGUAGGCGGCCGAGUAAGUUGAAGGUGAAAUCCCACGGCUCAACCGUGGAACUGCCUUCGAUACUGCUUGGCUAGAGUUCGGGAGGGGGUAGUGGAAUUCCUAGUGUAGCGGUGAAAUGCGUAGAUAUUAGGAGGAACACCAGUGGCGAAGGCGACUACCUGGACCGAUACUGACGCUGAAGCGCGAAAGCAUGGGGAGCAAACAGGAUUAGAUACCCCCGUAGUCC
rnacentral:rRNA from 1 species